UGACGACCAUAGCAAGGUGGCCCCACUCCUUCCCAUCCCGAACAGGACAGUGAAACGCCUUCGCGCCGAUGAUAGUGGACAUUCGUCUGUGAAAGUAGGUCAUCGUCA
rnacentral:rRNA from 1 species